ensembl:snRNA U6 U6 spliceosomal RNA
GUGCUCACUUCAGCAGCACAUACACUAAAAUUGGAAAAAUACAGAGAAGAUUAGCAUGGCCCCGGAACAAGGAUAACACAGCCCUUUACAUAUGAGGAAACUGAACCG